UGUUGCUUUCAUACAGGGGGGCUUUAAUUGGACAUCCUGUCGAAAAUCUUAGAGUUGUCUUGACAGAUGGUGCUGCUCAUGCCGUUGAUUCUAGUGAACUUGCAUUUAAGUUGGCUUCUAUCCAUGCUUUCAGACAGUGCUAUACAGCUUCCAGGCCAUUUAUAUUAGAACCUGUUAUGCUUGUUGAGCUGAAAGUACCAACAGAAUUCCAAGGAGCUGUUGCUGGUGACAUUAACAAGUGGGGUUCUUAUUUUAUUCUAUCCUUGUUUCUCUUUUCAAAUGGUUUAUUUAUGAUAUUGGUUUAUUUAUGAUAUUUUUAUCUAUGGUAUUGGUUUAUGAUAUUGGUUUAUUUUAUUC